CAGAUGAAAUGGGACCCGCGGGGGGCGCGCGUGGCGCGAGUGUCUCGCAAAACAGACGUCACAGGCCGCCACACUGGCGCCCCCCGCCCGCAAAAAAACAACACUCCUCUCAGUCCAUCAUAUUCUCACGAUAAUAAGAGCUCCAUGGUCAAAGCCCAGAGCUGCUAAAUAAGCUCACAGGCCCCACACUUCUGGAGGUGAUAAUGGAGCUGGACGUGGCGGCAUGAAGGCAACUCCGUGGAGGUUCGAGAAUCAGUCUAGAUGGGAAUUCUGGAAAAGUUUAACUCUAAGCAGCAAGGAUUCCUCUUUUCACGAUGUAGCCAUCAGAGGAUUAACAUCCGUCCUCUCCUGAACUCCAGUGAUGAUAAAGACCACAUCCAAUAUGAACUUGAAAGAGACAAAAUAUUUUGAAGGCCCUUCCCUCCUCCUCCACUUGUGGGUCUGCACGAGGCUGACAGAACUCCACGAGUCCCUCUGUGGGGGUCACCAAAAGUUCAGGUGAAUGACCAUGCUAUGUGGUACAACAGCAGUGCCCAUGACAGGAUCUGAAUCCCAGAACUUUUGCAUGGACCUGGGCGUGUGCACCCAUGAGCGCCUGAGGAGACGGUUUCAUCUGAACAGGAUCCGCAUUCAGGCUGACCCUCACUGUGCCAACGUGAAAACGACGCCAAAGCCGAAAUUCAGCACAAAAGCCCCCAGGCAUGUCCUGAGACUGGGGUAUCGUGUAACGUGAGAGGUGCCCACCCCUGGACGACUGACACAUAACGUCCGGAUUUAGCAGAAUACAUUCCGCUCAAAGGCACCACAACGGCGCCCCCUAUGCAGCAAGGCCGGCGGACCCAAAGCUGAAAGUCUGGACGACUCGCAUCACGACGGGAGAACAGGCGCCUCUGUGAGGCGCGGACUCACAUGUGUGUGUCAGCCGGUAUUGCAGAGGAGUGGAAAAGCGCGUUUUACGGCGAGCUGUCCGCGUGAAACAGGACAAGUGCCCCUUUGUCUGGGGCCGAAACCAGCGGCGCCUCACAUUUUAGGGGGGCUCUCAGAUGCCUUGUAACAUAACAGGCUUUUUUUUCACCCAGUUUGCAUCCUUUACACCGUUAA